AACAUCAGGAGAGGGGGGCAAAAUCCACUUCUCUGCAGUCACCUUCCGCAGCUGCUGUUAGACCUAGGGCUGCUCAUGCCGACCUCGGCGUUCCCAGUUUCUGUGUGUUUGUUGUGGGUGGCCUUAAAGGACAACAGGCUGGCUCCCUGCACCACAUCCUGCAUCCUCUCGGGGUGGCGGGGCCUGAGGCUCUAGGGAGUUUGCGCCCCACUCACCGCAGAGGUAUGAGCAGGGUCCCCACCUCCAGACGCCCACAGUCAUCAGUGUGCCCGGGCAUGACAAACAAGCUCACACUCCACAGCAGGAGUCACUGCGCAGCAGGGUCAUCAGCUGGCACUUGCUGGGACACACAGGAUGAUUUAUUUAUUCACUUGAGAGAGAGAGAGAGGAGGAGCGGAUGGAGAAAAUCUUCAAGC